rnacentral:lncRNA from 10 species
GGACCAGAGUCCUAGCCAGCUGGGUCUCAUGGAGCUAACCUAGCAGAGAGAGAAAGAGGCUCACCUGGAGUUGGGCGGAUGCCCAAAAGAAGGCGGCAGGCAAGGCUCAGAGCUGAAAGGGAGGAACAAUUGUAAUAAUAGCAGCCAUGUGCCAAGCCCUGGCCAAAUGCCAGCCACUGUGCAAGGCUUACAUGCUCAUUUAAUUCUCACAACAACUCUGAGGCACGUGUUACUAUCCUCAUUUUACACAGUGGAGAAUGAGGUUCUGAUAGGCCCAAGAAAUUUCUAAAAAUCUCACGGCCAGGAAAUGGCAAAAUCUGGAUUCAAAUCUAGGGUUUUCUAUUUAUUUAUUUAUUUAUCUUGAGAUGGAGUCAUGUUCUGUCACCCAGGCUGGAGUGCAAUGGCGUGAUCUCGGGUCACUGCAACCUCCACCUCCCAGGUUCAAGCAAUUCUUUUGCCUCAGCCUCCCAAGUAGUUGGAAUUAUGGGUGCCUGCCACCAUGCCCAAUUAAUUUUUUUAUUUUUAGUAGAGUUGGGGUUUUGCCCUGUUGAUCAGGCUGGUCUCCGACUCCUGACCUCAGGUGAUCCACCCGCCUCAGCCUCCCAAUGUGCUGGGAUUAUAGGCAUGAGCCACUGCGCCCAGUCCAAAUCUAGGGUUUUCUUACACCUAACUAAGCCAAAGUUAGCAAGCUUGAGAUAAGAUUUUUGGGUUUUGUUUGGGUUUUUUUCAUGAUUUCUUUUCAAGACAGAGUUUCACUCUUGUCACCCAGGCUGGAGUGCAAUGGCACAAUCUCAGCUCACUGCAACCUCCACCUCCUGGGUUCAAGCGAUUCUCCUGCCUCAGUCUCCCAAGUACCUGGGAUUACAGGUGCCCACCACCAUGUUCAACUAAUUUUUGUAUUUUUAGUAGAGACGGGUUUUCACUAUGUUGGCCACGCUGGUCUCAAACUCCUGACCUCAGGUGAUUCACCCUCCUUGGCCUCCCAAAGUGCUGGGAUUACAGGUGUGAGCCAUUGUGCUCGGCCGAUUUUUUUUUUUUUUUAAUAACAAAGAGAAGCAUCAGAUCAGAAGAACCUAAUGUGAGGCAGACUCCAAAGCCAAGGGAUCAAAGAACAGGGUGAGCAAAACAAGAGAGGGUAGGGGGACAAGUCAGAAAGGGGUCUGUGCGAGCACCAGAAACAUGCACAUACCCUCUUCCCUGUGGAGUGGCUCAUGGGUGGGCCAGGCACUUUUAAAGAGCUGGGAACAGAGCAAUCUUCUGCAGCCUGUUCUCAUGUGAGGACCAGAAAAGUUUCCGCGUGGGUCUCCCUGUGCUCGUGUUCCCAUCUCGUCAUUGUAAUUGAUAGCAUUAGUGCAUGGUAUCAACCAGCAUUUGCCAAUGUUUGUUCUGUGGGACCUUAGUUCUGCAGGGUUAAUAGAUACAACUUGGAAUGAAGAUUCAGUUAAAUUCACUUCAGUUUAACACACUUAGUGAAUACCCACAAACAGAGCUAUGAAGUGUGUAUUCGACCAUGAACAAUAGGUGAAGUCUCUGUUUUCAUGGAGCUUGUAGACCAGAUGUUCAGUAAGUUUGGAAAAUGUUACGCCACAGUGAUAUCGGUUUCUUUACUGCAAACAUUUCAGGGUCUUAUUAUGCUAAUAAUCAUUGUGACUUUAUAAGAGUGGGGUAGAGUAUAUAGCGUUCCCCCAUGAUAUCUAUCCAUGGAAUCCUAUUUUACUUGUUGUAAAGUCUCUUCUUGUGGCUCCCAGGCUAGUGUUCUUUUUUCUUUCUUUUUUUUUUUUUUGAGAUGGAGUUUUGCUCUUGUCACCCAGUGGAGUGCAAUGGUGCAAUCUCAGCUCACUGCAACCUCUGCCUCUUGGGUUCAAGCAAUCCUCCAGCCUCAGUCUCCCUAAUAGCUGGAAUUACAUGCACCCACCACCACGCCUGGCAAAUUUUUUUAUUUUUAGUAGAGACGGGGUUUCACCAUGUUGGUCAGGCUGGUCUCGAACUCCUGACCUCAGGUGAUCCUGCCUCGGCCUCCCAGAGUGCUGGGAUUACAGACAUGAGCCACUGCGCCCAGCCCAGGGCUAGUAUUCUACAGAACAAGCUUGCAGGGGAUGCUAGGGCAGACAGAGAAUGAUACACACCCCUUCACCUCCCUUCAUUUUACCACAAUACUGGUAGUGUGGCCAAAAGGAAUGAUGGGGAACACAUAAGCCCAGAACAUGGCAGCCAGGUGACACAACUAUGGGGGUAAGGGUGCCAUUCAUGGAUGCCAAGUGAUGGCUGCCUCUCAACACUGAGCCUGAUGAAGAGUCAAGACUACCUGGAAAUCGCCACAGGUGAGCCCACGGAAGGUGUGUGCUUCUCUGAACAGGAUUGAGAAGCUCACUGGGCCAAAGAUAUAGCAGGAGAAGGAGAAACAGAAAGUGGAGCCUUGGGAGAGGGAAAGUCCUUUGCUCCUAGGCCAUAAGAGAGGGGGAGGAUUUUCUGUCACAGUCCUGUGGGAGGACCUAGGUGGCAGCUGCCCUGGCGUAGGGGAACUGCAUAUCCUGUCUUAUAGAUAUAAAGAGAAGUGCUCCUGGAGCCAGCGUGGGGCUUUGUAUGCCAGCAAUCAAAGUUUAUCACUCAGGCAAACAAGCCAGAGGAAAAGAGCUGACAAAUGGCUAGCAUUUCCCCCGCUUUCUUCUCCAGGAAGACGUUUUGGUCUUGGUUUCCCUCUGGGUUUUUCCUCUCUCUGAUCUCUCUUGCCCUCACGCAGUGUUCCCUGCCCAGGCAUUACAUAACAGCCUGGACUGCAGGGAACACCUAUACAAGAGGCCAUGACAGUUAGACAAUGGGCAGGCACAGGCUGCCCUGAGAAAAUGGAGUCAUUCAUGAGCUGUGUGAGAGGCGGCUCUGUUCCCAGCUUGGCUCACUGGUAAAUGAAGUGCGCUGGGGACAAAGAGGGAAACUUUACACUCUAGCAAUUUUCCCACAGUGGCAGGCUCACAGAAAAACAAGGCACUAGUUGGCUUAGAGGAGAAAAGGCAACCAUAUCCAUAGACUUUGCUUUCUCCCCCAGAUUGCCGUCUUGUGCCAAAACCACAGAAUAAACUCCCAGGGAGGGAACAGCAAGGCUAUACUCGCUCUGGGUCUCAAACGACAGAAGCCAGAGAAAAGAUGUGGGUCUGCCUUCGGCUUCUGUUUCCAUGGCUGCUUGAUGGGUUUUCAUUUCUGAUCAGCUCACAUUUGACCUCUGAUCUAGGUCACCACCUUAGAGGGAAGGAAUGUUUUCAGUCGAGAUGAUCAUCCUGAGAUAAAUAAUAACGGCUCCCCCUAUCGCAGCUGCUCAGCAGGGUCGGGGAGCACCUUCCUCUAACACAGCCGGCUGGCUCGCCUGAUCUUAGGGGCUCUUCAGCCCACACUGCUUAGGGCUGUGUGUGGAGUCACACCUGGAGAAUACUUUGCUGUGGGGCCCAGGGCCUCUUUGGGUGGGAAUCUAUGCUGCAGCUGCAGGUAUAGUGCUGUCCUAUAGACCAUAAGGUGCUAAAAAUUUAACCAAAAAGUUAUUGAGUGUCUUAUAGUGGGUGUUUUAUAUAAGACUAAAUUUUAUGUCAAGAAAAUACCAAGGUUAUUACAAAUAAUCUUAUAUGUUAAAAACAAUUACCAAAUCCCAGCAAUGACCUACUUACCUAUUUAAAGAAAUACCAAGCUCUUAUCCAACUUACCUAUUUAGGGACUUCUGGAGUCCAUUACAGAGCUACUCAACCCACGGCAGUAAUCCUCCCUCUGAGAAUACUACUGUAAUCCUCAAGUGCAGAGUAGAGACUACUGUGCGAAAGAACUCGGGAAAGCAGCAGGCAGUCUGGAAUGGCAAUGGGAAGAUCCAAAGGCAGCAAAGGCUUCUCUCCGCCAUGUGAAAGGCCUGAGUUUAGAUACUUCAGGGAAGUUUUAAUGCCAACCUUCUGUAAAAUCCCCAUUCUCUAAUGUAUGGCUUUAAUUAACAAUCAUGUAUCAAUAUUUGUUAAUCAUAACAAAUGUACCAUACUCCUGUGAGAUGUUAUCAACAGGAAAAAUUGAAGGAGAGGUGCAUGGAGCUCUGUACUAUCCUUGCAAUUUUUCUGUAAAUCUAAAACUGUUGUAAAAAAUAAAGUCAGGGGAGGAGCAAAAAGAAAAAACGUUUAUUUUUUAUUGAAAAGAAAAACCCUCAUUCUCCACAGCCACAUCCAUAUUUCAGAAUUGUUCUUAGAAACUUCCAGAAACAAUUCAUUUACUGUAUAUAACAUUAUGGCCUAGAUUAAACUGAUCAGUAAUUAUUAAUGCUUAACGUUAGUGCGGAAGCUCAAAAAUUAUAUACUAGAGUGUUUGUGUAACUCUAAAUCUUAAGAUACAUGUCAG